UACGUAGGGUGCAAGCGUUGUCCGGAAUUAUUGGGCGUAAAGAGCUCGUAGGCGGUUUGUCGCGUCUGCUGUGAAAACGCGAGGCUCAACCUCGCGCCUGCAGUGGGUACGGGCAGACUAGAGUGUGGUAGGGGAGAUUGGAAUUCCUGGUGUAGCGGUGGAAUGCGCAGAUAUCAGGAGGAACACCGGUGGCGAAGGCGGUUCUCUGGGCAUUACCUGACGCUGAGGAGCGAAAGUGUGGGGAGCGAACAGG
rnacentral:rRNA from 1 species